rnacentral:rRNA from 1 species
CCCUUAGAUGUUCUGGGCCGCACGCGCGCUACACUGACGGAUUCAACGAGCUUACAACCUUGGCCGAAAGGUCUGGGUAAUCUCCAAAAUCCGUCGUGAUGGGGAUAGAUUAUUGCAAUUAUUAAUCUUCAACGAGGAAUGCCUAGUAAGCGCAAGUCAUCAGCUUGCGUUGAUUACGCCCCUGCCCUUUGUACACACCGCCCGUCGCUCCUACCGAUUGAAUGGUCCGGUGAAGCGUUUGGACUAUGGUUUUCUGAUGGUCCGCCGUUGGAUUACCGUGGGAAGUUCGUUAAACCUUAUCAUUUAGAGGAAGGAGAAGUCGUAACA